GAUGAAGAACGCAGCGAAAUGCGAUACGUAAUGUGAAUUGCAGAAUUCAGUGAAUCAUCGAGUCUUUGAACGCACAUUGCGCCCCCUGGUAUUCCGGGGGGCAUGCCUGUCCGAGCGUCAUUUCACCACUCAAGCCUGGCUUGGUGUUGGGCGACGUCCUCUUUGGGGACGCGCCUCGAAACGCUCGGCGGCGUGGCACCGGCUUUAAGCGUAGCAGAAUCUUUCGCUUUGGAAGUCGGGGCCCCGUCUGCCGGAAGACCUGCUCGCAAGGUUGACCUCGGAUCAGGCAGGGAUACCCGCUGAACUUAAGCAUAUCAAUAAGCGGAGGA
rnacentral:misc_RNA from 1 species